rnacentral:rRNA from 1 species
CUGCGGUAAUUCCAGCUCCACUGGCCUAUACAAUCAUUGUUGCGGUUAAGAGGCUCGUAGUUGGAUUGAACUGCAAUCUUAUUCUUGAAUGAAUAUAUUGCGCUAUAGUUUUUAUCGCACACACACACAUACUCUGUGUCGUGUGCUGCGUUCGACGCUGUUAACUUCUCAGGUUUUCACGACGGCACCGUGCAUAUAUAUUCUCACACACACACGGCGAUAUAUGCUCGGGACACGUAAUACUAUACCACUCACAAUUUAUUCUCCUUUUCAACACUGUGAACAAAUCAGAGUGUAUCAAACAUGUCGUUUUUGAAUGUGCAUUGAAUGUCUUAUCAUGGGAUGUUGCACUUUCACCAUUAGGAAAAAAUUGCAUUGCGCUAUUUUUCUCUACACACACACACUUAACGUACAUGUCUACUGUACGCACAGCCAUCUGUGAUAAAGCUGUUUUUUUUCUAACGGUUAAAAAUGUCGAUGGGGAUAGUUGGAGUCAACAGUACUGCUGGGCGAGAGGUGAAAUUCAUUGACCCUAGCAAGACUACCAAAAGCGAAAGCAGUUGGCUAGGCUAUACUCUUUGUGAUUAUAUGCCAUACCCACACAAUUUACACUGUGUAGCUCACACACACACACACUCGGCGGCACGUGUAAUUUCUACGUAUCGGCACUAUAUACACUUUACAAUGAAGAACGAAGGUUGGGGGAUCAAAGAGGAUCAGAUACCCUCGUCGUCCCAUUAAUUACAUCAAACGAUGGGCUCUCAAUGCAUUUUUCAUUAAAUUGCAAAUUUCCUCAGCUACAAAAUGACUUGGCUGAGCUCGUAUUUUUAAUACGCUCGCCUAAUUUUUUCGUAUGGUCUCGAUGGACGUUUCAUUUAAAAUUUUUUGCGUGUAAGCAUUGUUAUUCUUUGAAACAUAAGAAUGCAUUGCGUGCACUUGAUUUUCGGAGCUUUGCGCUCAAUUCUGGUGAGAUGUAAGCACUAUGUCAUACUGCCCGCAGCGUAUAUCUUCGGGUAUUUCGUCUGUCGUGUGCAGUUGACAAUUUUGGUGUGAAGCACGCUUUAGGCACGCGCUUACUGCAGAAAUGUCUGAGACAUUCCCUUCCGGGGGAAGUAUGUACGCAAGUAUGAAACUUGAAGGAAUUGACGGAAGGGCACCACAAGAACGCGUGGAGCAUGUGGCUUAAUUUGACUCAACGCGGGAAAUCUUACCGGGUCCGGACACACUGAGGAUUGACAGGCAAUAUUAAUUUCGCUCCGGCGAUUUUAUGUUAAAUAUGCUAGUCCUUUCAUGAUUAUGUGAUAGGUGGUGCAUGGCCGUUCUUAGUUCGUGGAGUGAUCUGUCUGCUUAAUUGCGUUUCACUAAGGGCCUAUAAUUUAACGUGUGUUGCGGCACUUUGACCCCUCUUCGCGGAGCGUGCGUCUUGGCUUGUUUAGCUCACACAAUUAGGUCCUGAAAGCAACGAACGUGACCG